AGAAAUUUGAGCAAUCCUUGGUUUUAACAAUUACCUUGUUGAAACAUUUCCUUCAUCUUUGACCUCUCAAUUCACUGGGAGAAAUCUGAAGCAGGCAGUUGUAUUCACCAGUUGUUGCUCCAUUUGGGAUAGGGAUGCUUGCUUUGAAGUCUGAGAACUUUGCUGAGGGGAGAAGGGCUGAAGAGAGUCUGUGGCUCUUAAUGAAGACUUAAUGUGAUGCCACAGUCCUGGAGUACAGCAGUACCUUCAGGGCAGUGUCUCCAGGUGUUUGCCUGCAGGAAGUCAUUAAAAGGCAAUGCAAAUCAGGACAGAAUUCCC